rnacentral:rRNA from 1 species
GUGUCAGCCGCCGCGGUAAAACGUAGGUGGCGAGCGUUAUCCGGAUUCAUUGGGCGUAAAGAGCUUGUAGGCGGCCCCAUAAGUUGGACGUGAAAACUCCGGGCUUAACUUGGAGAGGCCGUUCAAUACUGUGAGGCUAGAGGGUGUCAGAGGGAAGUAGAAUUCCUGGUGUAGCAGUGAAAUGCGUAGAUAUCAGGAGGAAUACCCGUGGCGAAGGCGGCUUCCUGGGGCACCACUGACGCUGAGAAGCGAAAGCUAGGGGAGCAAACGGGAUUAGAAACCCGCGUAGUCC